AUGACCCGGAUGCCGGAUGGCCCCUGGUGCUAGUCUUAUCAGUAUGGAGCUCUGGUUCCUACCGCCUAUACUGCAAACCCCAGUUUUCCUGUUGGCCCGAAAACACCCCAUGCAGAGGCACCACGCUAGAGUGCUUCGCCCAGAGGCUUGCCCAGAGUCUGAAAUCAGUACCACUGCAUGGAAAUCAACAUGUUAGCUGGACCUUGCUCCCUUCAGAGGCUGUAUGGGAGAAUCAUUCCUACCUCUCCCGGCUCCUGGUGUCUGCUGGGAUUCCUUGGCUUGUAGCUGCGUCACUCUAAACAUUCAGGACUGAUGAACUGCCUUCCAAAGCGGCUGCACUAUUUUACAUCCCCACCAGCAAUGAAUGAGAGUUCUUGUUGCUCCACACCUUCAUCACAAUUUGGUGUCAGUGUUCCAGAUUUUGAUCAUCCUAAUAGUAAUCUACUCUAAUAAGAAAGACAAAAAUAAGAAAACAAGGUGACACUAUGGAUUUUAUUGAGGAAGCAAGAAAUAAAGACUCCAGAGUUUGCCUGAGAAAAGCAUAAAUUUAACCCCAAAUACUAUCCUUUCAUCUUGCAGAUAUGUACAGUAAAACACAAUUGUCAACAUGAGUAUCCUGGAAAGUAAAGUUAAACACACACACACACACACACACACACACAGUCCUGAGUUAUCAAAGAUAAAAAUCAAUUUUGAUCACCACGUUCUAGGAAUAAAGCCCAGAAAUUCAACACAAACUGCUUGAAAUAAAAGAAAGACUGUUGUCAGUCAGUGAAAGAAUU